rnacentral:rRNA from 1 species
AUGGCACAAAGGGAAGCCAGACCGUCAGGUGGAGCAAAUCCCAUAAAACCAUGCCCAGUUCAGAUUGUCGUCUGCAACUCGACGACAUGAAGCCGGAAUCGCUAGUAAUGGCGCAUCAGCUACGGCGCCGUGAAUACGUUCCCAGGCCUUGUACACACCGCCCGUCACAUCAUGAAAGCCGGUUGUACCCGAAGUCCACUCUGUUAACCGCAAGGAGACAGUGGCCGAAGGUAUGGCUGGUGAUUGGGAUGAAGUCGUAACAAGGUACGG